AAUAAGGGAGCCGUAGAGAAAUCGAGUCUGAAUAGGGCGAUAGUCGCUGGGAGUAGACCCGAAACCGGGCGAUCUAGCCAUGUGCAGGAUGAAGGUUGGGUAACACCAACUGGAGGUCCGAACCGGGUAAUGUUGAAAAAUUAUCGGAUGACGUGUGGCUAGGAGUGAAAGGCUAAUCAAGCCCGGAGAUAGCUGGUUCUCCCCGAAAGCUAUUUAGGUAGCGCCUCGUGAAUGAUUACUGGGGGUAGAGCACUGUUUCGGCUAGGGGGCUGUCAUGGCUUACCAAACCGAUGCAAACUCCGAAUACCGGCUAAUUGAAUCACGGGAGACACACGGCGGGUGCUAACGUCCGUCGUGGAGAGGGAAACAACCCAGACCGCCAGCUAAGGUCCCCAAGUACUAGUUAAGUGGGAAACGAUGUGGGAAGGCAUAGACAGCCAGGAGGUUGGCUUAGAAGCAGCCACCCUUUAAAGAAAGCGUAAUAGCUCACUGGUCGAGUCGGCCUGCGCGGAAGAUGUAACGGGGCUAAAACUAGUCACCGAAGCUGCGGAUGUGCGCGAAAGCGCACGUGGUAGGGGAGCGUUCUGUAGGCUGAUGAAGGUGCAUUGAGAAGUGUGCUGGAGGUAUCAGAAGUGCGAAUGCUGACAUGAGUAACGAUAAUGUGGGUGAAAAGCCCACACGCCGGAAGUCCCAGGUUUCCUGCACGACGUUAAUCGGAGCAGGGUGAGUCGGCCCCUAAGGCGAGGCUGAAGAGCGUAGUCGAUGGGAACCAGGUUAAUAUUCCUGGACUUUUUAUAAGUGGUGAAGUGGGGACGAAGAAGGCUAGGUGAGCCAGGCGUUGGUUGUCCUGGUACUUGCAUGUAGGGGGGAAGACUUGGCAAAUCCGGUUUUCCAUAACUCUGAGGUGCGAAGUGGUUCUGACCUUUUGGUACAGAGAAGUCAUUGAUGCCCGGCUUCCAGGAAAAGCUGCUAGCCAUAACUUAUAGAGAACCGUACCGCAAACCGACACAGGUGGACAGGUAGAGAAUACUAAGGCGCUUGAGAGAACUCGGGUGAAGGAACUAGGCAAAAUGGUACCGUAACUUCGGGAGAAGGUACGCCCUUUUGGGUGAGGGCAUUUACUGUCUGAGCUUAAGAGGGCCGCAGAGACCAGGUGGCUGCGACUGUUUAUUAAAAACACAGCACUCUGCAAAUUCGUAAGAAGACGUAUAGGGUGUGACGCCUGCCCGGUGCCGGAAGGUUAAUUGAUGGGGUUAUCUUCGGAGAAGCUCUUGAUCGAAGCCCCGGUAAACGGCGGCCGUAACUAUAACGGUCCUAAGGUAGCGAAAUUCCUUGUCGGGUAAGUUCCGACCUGCACGAAUGGCGUAACGAUGGCCACACUGUCUCCACCCGAGACUCAGUGAAAUUGAAAUCGCUGUGAAGAUGCAGUGUACCCGCGGCUAGACGGAAAGACCCCGUGAACCUUUACUAUAGUUUUGCACUGGACUUUGAUGAUGACUGUGUAGGAUAGGUGGGAGGCUGUGAAGUGAGGACGCUAGUUCUCAUGGAGCCGCCCUUGAAAUACCACCCUGUUGUUAUUGAGGUUCUAACUUGGUCCAGUAAUCCUGGAUGAGGACAGUGUAUGAUGGGUAGUUUGACUGGGGCGGUCUCCUCCCAAAGAGUAACGGAGGAGCACAAAGGUACCCUCGGUACGGUCGGACAUCGUACCAAGAGUGUAAAGGCAAAAGGGUGCUUGACUGCGAGAGUGACGGCUCGAGCAGGAACGAAAGUUGGUCUUAGUGAUCCGGUGGUUCUGAAUGGAAGGGCCAUCGCUCAACGGAUAAAAGGUACUCCGGGGAUAACAGGCUGAUACCGCCCAAGAGUUCAUAUCGACGGCGGUGUUUGGCACCUCGAUGUCGGCUCAUCACAUCCUGGGGCUGAAGCAGGUCCCAAGGGUAUGGCUGUUCGCCAUUUAAAGUGGUACGCGAGCUGGGUUUAGAACGUCGUGAGACAGUUCGGUCCCUAUCUGCCGUGGGCGUAGGAAAAUUGAGAGGAGCUGCUCCUAGUACGAGAGGACCGGAGUGGACGAACCUCUGGUGCACCGGUUGUCACGCCAGUGGCAUGGCCGGGUAGCUAAGUUCGGACGGGAUAACCGCUGAAAGCAUCUAAGCGGGAAGCCUCCCUCAAGAUGAGUUUUCCCAUGAAGCCCGUUGAAGACUACGACGUUGAUAGGCAAGGUGUGGAAGCGCAGUAAUGCGUGAAGCUAACUUGUACUAAUUGGCUGAUUGUCUUGACCAUAUAAUCUGAG
rnacentral:rRNA from 1 species